rnacentral:rRNA from 1 species
UACGUAGGCAGCAAGCGUUGUUCGGAUUUACUGGGCGUAAAGAGUGCGUAGGCGGUCUUUUAAGUUUGGUGUGAAAUCUCCCGGCUCAACUGGGAGGGUGCGCCGAAAACUGGGAGGCUUGAGGAUGGGAGAGGCAUGCGGAAUUCCUGGUGUAGCGGUGAAAUGCGUAGAUAUCAGGAGGAACACCUGCGGUGUAGACAGCAUGCUGGACCAUUUCUGACGCUGAGGCACGAAAGCGUGGGUAGCAAACAGG